rnacentral:rRNA from 1 species
UACAGAGGGGGCAAGCGUUGUUCGGAAUUACUGGGCGUAAAGGGCGCGUAGGCGGCCUGCUAAGUCGAACGUGAAAUCCCCGGGCUCAACCCGGGAACUGCAUCCGAUACUGACAGGCUUGAAUCCGGGAGAGGGAUGUGGAAUUCCAGGUGUAGCGGUGAAAUGCGUAGAUAUCUGGAGGAACACCGGUGGCGAAGGCGGCAUCCUGGACCGGUAUUGACGCUGAUGCGCGAAAGCCAGGGGAGCAAACGGG